rnacentral:rRNA from 1 species
UACGUAGGGUGCGAGCGUUAAUCGGAAUUACUGGGCGUAAAGCGUGCGCAGGCGGUUUUGUAAGCCGGAUGUGAAAUCCCCGGGCUUAACCUGGGAAUGGCGGUUGAAACUGGCGAACUUGAAUCUGGCAGAGGGGGGUGGAAUUCCACGUGUAGCAGUGAAAUGCGUAGAGAUGUGGAGGAACACCGAUGGCGAAGGCAGCCUCCUGGGCCAGCACUGACGCUCAUGCACGAAAGCGUGGGGAGCAAACAGG